GCCAAUUGGACGUUUAUUUGAUAGCUGCAUCUGUUCGAUGUUCGAAUUGAUAUCAAGGGAAUCCGGAACGUCGUCGAAACCGUUACUCUUCCGUGCUCGGGAAAACGCUUUCAGACAACCUGUUCCAGAAAUUACGAGGACAAUUCCUCCGUUAACGAAGUCAUUGCGGAAAUUUACUCUUUCCAAAGAGUAAUCUAUCACCGGAUUUUAUCUCGUAACGAGACUGGUCGUCCAACACUAGCGAACUAUUCUCGACAAGAUUCUGUAUCGAAUUUGUUUUCUAGUUAUUAUACAUUGCAUUUGAUCGUGAUAUGUAUAUAUGUUAUACGUUCUUUUUUUUUUCUUUUUAUCAUUUUUGCUUUUCAUCUGUACCGAUACACGUAUUACCUUUGCCCUGAAGAAACCAUUUGUGCCUAAAUGCUGCUUAGACUUCUUUUCCACAUAAUCUUUAUUUCACAAGAUUUUUUAGAGAAAAGAAACGUUUUAAUACAUCGAUGUUACUGCUGUUGUUAGCCCUGUAACAAUUAAAGUUGUUCCACGCGAAACAUACUCGAAGUACCAAAACCGAAAGACACAGUUCCGAUAAUAUUUCACAGACGUUGUUCUACUUUCUUCGCGACGUUCGAACAUACGUAGCUUGUCAGCUUAGCUAGCAGUGAAAAAUAGCGUAGUACUAAAUAAAACCGACGUUACACCUACUGCAUUCAUAAAUCACGUAGCCUGUACAAUGUAACAAAAAACUGGUCAAACGAAAUACAAAUCAAGUCUUUCGUAGUCAUUUACAGACAAACGCGCGAGCGAGAAACACGCCCGCUGCAAUAUAUUUAGAUAUAUAUAUAUAUAUAUAUAUCGUUUACAAACGAUAACAUUAGUAUCAAAUGAAAUUAUAUCGAACAGAGUCAUCCUAUUUGCCUCUGAAGCGUCGAUUUCUUCACGCUUCAAGAACUACGGAGUGGCAGAUCGUGAUGCGUCUAAUUCGACGAACAAUUGCAGUUCGGGAAAGCGAAACGUGCUCGUUAUUCCGCGAGAACAGAAAGAUAAACAAAGAUAGAGACCAAUAAAUCAUUGGUAUCGAAAGAAACAUCGUGGAUCUGUCACUGGCUAUUGUAAUUCCAGUAAUUAAGAGAAAAUUAAAGGCUGUUAAGUCGCAGAGCUGCAAUAAGACACGGAGAAUGAGAAACGAAUCGACAGACGCAGUGCACCGAGAGAACGAGCAAAACGUCGCAUCGGAGCGAAAAUGAAGUGAGAUGAAACGAAGUAAUUAAGAUAAAAUCGGUCAGGCGAGUCGGAUACGUGCACCAAGGAUAGGACGAGAGUAUAAUAAAGACGGAACAAUACGCUAAUUAUAGAUAUGAAUCUUCAAGGAAAAGCAACGUCUGUUCGACGGAAAACGUGUGACAAAUUUUCGAUGAUACGUUUUAGCGGCGAGGUCUACGAGAGCUCGAAAGAAACUGUUCUUCAUCCCAAUUAGAGAAGGGUUCAGAAACAUCGAUACUUUGUCGGCUGUUACCGUUCAGUUCGUUUACUCCAUGAGAAUAUUAAUGACUCGACGAUGGUAUUCAUACAUGCACGGUAUGUGAUGUAAUUUCUCUUUCGUAUAUACUUUCGUAAAUAACUCGAUAAAUAAAUGCAAUCAAUACGUCGAUAGUAACAAAUAUAUCAAUGGGUUAAAAACAGAUGAAAAAUCUAAAGAACUAAAAAAGAUGUGUAUACGAAUCGUUAUUGCAAAUACUGUAAUGUAAUUUUUAUAUAUUUCGAUUAAAUUCAUCCUUCCUAGUAGCAGAAUAUUUCUUCUUUCCGGAUUUUAUCACACGGGCUCUGAAUCAGCGUAGGUCCGAGUCGUCGAACCGAAACUCGUAGCUGAAAAAUCGCCAGAAACGACGACGCAUUGGAAUGCCCCUGUCCAGUGCAGAUCGAUCUCUUUUUAACCACGUCGCGCGUCGCUUCGAAAAAGGCAGUGCAUCCCUUGACGAGUUCAUUUGCAUAAAAAAAUAAGCACAACCAUGAUGUAUCGUUUUGUUUUUCUCUUAUUCCUUGUAUGGUAUAUCGUAUUAUUAAUAUAAUUCUAUACAACGGCAGAUUGCCGUGACGAUA